AGAUUGAACGCUGGCGGCAGGCCUAACACAUGCAAGUCGAGCGGUAGAGAGGUGCUUGCACCUCUUGAGAGCGGCGGACGGGUGAGUAAUGCCUAGGAAUCUGCCUAGUGGUGGGGGAUAACGUUCGGAAACGGACGCUAAUACCGCAUACGUCCUACGGGAGAAAGCGGGGGACCUUCGGGCCUCGCGCCAUUAGAUGAGCCUAGGUCGGAUUAGCUAGUUGGUGAGGUAAUGGCUCACCAAGGCGACGAUCCGUAACUGGUCUGAGAGGAUGAUCAGUCACACUGGAACUGAGACACGGUCCAGACUCCUACGGGAGCAGCAGUGGGAAUAGUUGGACAAGUGGGACGAAAGCCUGAUCCAAGCCAUGCCGCGUGUGUGAAGAGUCUUCGGAUUAGUAAAGCUACGUUUAAGUUGGGAAGGUAAGGUUUCGUAACCUAAUACGUUGACUAACUUUUGAACCGUUACCGACUAAGAACUUAACGCAACCGGUCUUAAACGUUCCGUAGUACCGAG
rnacentral:rRNA from 1 species